UUUGAGUUUGAAAUACACUAUAGUUCUUUAUUCUCUUAUAUUAUUUUUGUCUAUCUUCCUAUUCUUAUCAAUCUAUCCCUUAUCUUUUCAUUUUUCAUAGAUAGAUUCUCAUUCCCAUUACAUGAAUCGAAGCAUUUCGUAUCAAAUCCAGGUUGAUUUUAUUACCACGAACUCAAUGAUGGGUUUGUUAUCAUGAAAAUAAAAAAGAGUGUGAAAAACUUUUAAUGAAAAAUCCAA
rnacentral:lncRNA from 1 species